UCCCCGGUAGCUCAAUUGGCAGAGCGGGUGGCUGUUAACCACUAGGUUGGCGGUUCGAGUCCGUCCCGGGGAGCCA
rnacentral:tRNA from 8 species